GUACUACUGAAGAGUCCAAAACUAGGACGAAACAGCUGUCCAGUAC
rfam:Trichobilharzia regenti genome assembly, scaffold: TRE_scaffold0065326